GGCUGGUCCAAUGGUAAUGGGUUAUCAGAACUUAUUAACAUUAGUGUGACUAAAGUUAGUAUUCAACCCCCCACUGCUAAAUUUGACUGGCUUAAA
ensembl:misc_RNA Y_RNA Y RNA